rnacentral:rRNA from 1 species
AACGAACGCUGGCGGCGUGCCUAACACAUGCAAGUCGAACGAGAAAGGGGCUUCGGCUCCGAGUAAAGUGGCGCACGGGUGAGUAACACGUGGGUAACCUGCCUCUAAGAUUGGGAUAACUCGUCGAAAGAUGAGCUAAUACCGAAUAAGACCACAGUUCCCGCGGGAACAGGGGUCAAAGGUAGCCUCUGCUUGCAAGCUAUCACUUAGAGAUGGGCCUGCGCACCAUUAGCUAGUUGGUAGGGUAACGGCCUACCAAGGCAAAGAUGGUUAGCUGGUCUAAAAGGAAGAUCAGCCACACUGGAACUGAAACACGGACAAGACUCAUACGGGAGGCAGCAGUGGGGAAUAUUGCGCAAUGGGCGACAGCUUGACGAAGCAACGCCGCGUGAGGGAUGAAGGCCAUCGGGUCGUAAAGCACUGUCGGGAGGAACGAAUGCUCCUGAGGUUAACAGCCUCGGGAGGUGACGGUACCUUCAAAGGAAGCACCGGCUAACUCUGUG